UGGGGAAUAUUGCACAAUGGGCGCAAGCCUGAUGCAGCCAUGCCGCGUGUGUGAAGAAGGCCUUCGGGUUGUAAAGCACUUUCAGCGAGGAGGAAGGUGGUGAGCUUAAUACGCUCAUCAAUUGACGUUACUCGCAGAAGAAGCACCGGCUAACUCCGUGCCAGCAGCCGCGGUAAUACGGAGGGUGCAAGCGUUAAUCGGAAUUACUGGGCGUAAAGCGCACGCAGGCGGUUUGUUAAGUCAGAUGUGAAAUCCCCGGGCUCAACCUGGGAACUGCAUUUGAAACUGGCAAGCUAGAGUCUCGUAGAGGGGGGUAGAAUUCCAGGUGUAGCGGUGAAAUGCGUAGAGAUCUGGAGGAAUACCGGUGGCGAAGGCGGCCCCCUGGACGAAGACUGACGCUCAGGUGCGAAAGCGUGGGGCAGCAAACAGGAUUAGAUACCCUGGUAGUCCAGCGCUGUAAACGAUGUCGAUUUGGAGGUUGUGCCCUUGAGGCGUGGCUUCCGGAGCUAACGCGUUAAAUCGACCGCCUGGGGAGUACGGCCGCAAGGUUAAAACUCAAAGGAAUUGACGGGGUCU
rnacentral:rRNA from 1 species